rnacentral:rRNA from 1 species
UACGAAGGGUGCAAACGUUGCUCGGAAUUAUUGGGCGUAAAGCGCACGUAGGCGGCAUUGCAAGUCGGAUGUGAAAUCCCUCGGCUCAACCAAGGAAGUGCAUCCGAAACUGCAGUGCUUGAGUACUUAAGAGGAUCGCGGAAUUCCCGGUGUAGAGGUGAAAUUCGUAGAUAUCGGGAGGAACACCAGUGGCGAAGGCGGCGAUCUGGGAAGAUACUGACGCUGAGGUGCGAAAGCGUGGGGAGCAAACGGG